ACAGCAGCAGCCGCGGUAAUACGUAGGGUGCAAGCGUUAAUCGGAAUUACUGGGCGUAAAGCGUGCGCAGGCGGUUAUAUAAGUCAGAUGUGAAAUCCCCGGGCUCAACCUGGGACCUGCAUUUGUGACUGUAUAGCUAGAGUACGGUAGAGGGGGAUGGAAUUCCGCGUGUAGCAGUGAAAUGCGUAGAUAUGCGGAGGAACACCAAUGGCGAAGGCAAUCCCCUGGACCUGUACUGACGCUCAUGCACGAAAGCGUGGGGAGCAAACAGGAUUAGAUACCCGCGUAGUCCCUGUCUCUUAUAC
rnacentral:rRNA from 1 species